CCGAGCCGGGCCGGGCCGGCGGCUCAAGGCAGGGCAGGGCAGGCCUAGCCUGGCCUGGCCUGGCCUGGCCUGGCCUGGCCUGUGGGGGCGCUGCCCUGAAACCCGCGUUUAGAGGAGCUGUGUUGGAAUAAAGUCACGAGCGAGCCGGUGGGCCGCUGGCAACGCUAAGAGGGACUAGGCAGGCAUCUUCAGAAAUACCUGAGAACUGUGUUUUAUUGGGCUACAGUAAAACGCUGAUCGCCACAAGAAGUACACUUUGUGCUUACAUAGUGAGAAGCACCUGGGUUUGGUUUCAAGGAUACAUUGCCUCCCUCCCUUGCAAAGUUCUCCGGAGUUAGUCAGAUGGCUGCCGACAACCUGCACCGUGCAAAUGCUCUCAUGGUUCUGCCUGCACAGGAUGGUUGUGAGGUGUUCCUGUCCCAAGGACAUCUGAAAACUGCCACAUGCCAAGUCUGCAGCUAAAAUGUUUCAUCCCCUCUUAUAUCUCAGUCAUGACUGAUGGUAAAAAUUCAACAAACUAGAGCCAUGGAACAGGACCAGGGAAGGAUUUAAGGAGGGCAACUUUAUUGAAUCAAGUCAGAGGAUGUUGUGGGUUUGGAGAUGCUUGACCCACAAAGAGAUGUUGACCACAGAUUUGAAGCUCUUCAAAACUUCAAAGCUCUACAAAGAGUGUGACUGUUUAAAGAUUUCAAGGUGUGUGAAUUUAAAGGACAACAGCCCAUUUCAAACAACUCCAUGUAUGGACAUUCACAUAUAAAAAUUCUUGAGAACGUCAGAAAGUGGGGUGCUCUGACGGGCUGCUAGCCACAGCUUCCCAGGAACUGAUGAAAAAAAAUGACAGGCAGCGACCCUUGCCACGGUUGCUAUAGCAACCACGGCUUUUGGAGCCCUGGGAGAUGUUUCUCUGGACUUUCUGCCACUGCUGCUCAGGACAGCUGACUGUUGUCAAGAGUUGGAGCCUCUCCAUAAAUUUCCAGCUGCUGAGGGGGUUGGCCCUACACCUGCUGAGAAGUUUCUUCUGGUGUUUCAACACUACGUUCAGCACUGACUCCUUUAGGAGAAGUAUAUGUUUUCCAGGUUUUAUUUUUCACCACUCCCAUUGUUGCCUGAGACAGAAGGCAGUUUUGGAACCAUGGAUGCUCAUUUGGUGAGUUGAUGCCUUUGUGCCCUGUCUUGGCCACAUAGUGCAGAGAGUGGAAUCGACAUAAUUUUGUCUGUGUUCCCCAAGACAAUUUGGGGGACCUCCUCUGCAUUUGCAAGUGAGGGUUUAAGUGUUUGCCUCUAUGUUUCUUGGUUAUUGCUGUUUUCUUUUAGUAAACUGUUUUUUCUUUUUCACAUACCUCUUCAAAUUUGUCUCUCAUUGGUAGAGGGGAUAGAUUGAAAACUAAGGGGAGGGAAGUUAUUGCAGAAUCUCUGCCCUGUGAAAUUUCCUUAACUAACACUUAUUUGGCACCAAGCUAAAAGGGGGUCAAUAGAGGAAGUGAAAAAAUACAAAUUUGACCAAAUAAUUUCUAUCUUGGAACUCCCUGGUUACGACAUUGCUUGGUCUGAUCAUGGCAGUGUGGCACCUAACCUUGUUUAUGUGUCCAAAUAUGUGGAAAGAUCUGUCUGUGAUAGUGCUGUUAUUCAGAUCAGGGAGAGGAACCAAGGUACAGUUUGUGUUACCAGUUUGUGUUACCAGUUUAUGGAAUGAUAACAUCAAAGGCAAUGAAGAUCAUUUGGUAAAUGUAUUCAUUGUUGUUUGCCUGUCCUGAUCUGGGUUGCUGUGCCUGAGGGUUUAUUAAUAACCACACACAGCCUGUGGGGGAAAGAGGAGAUGAUUUUUCCUUUUGCCUUUCACCUCCUUCUCCCUUCAGGUCCGACACAUCAAUUCUUAAAAAAGCUGAAUUCCCUCUGGAUGCUAUAGACAUGGUGGGAGUUCUACUGGUUGGGAUGGAUAGGGAGCUAGCCUUCAUCAAUAAUGGAAGCAUCAGCUUAAGGCCUUGGGAUGCAGGAUGUUUAGAAAUGAAACAUCUAGUUGGAUUAUGGUGAGAAGCAUGGAAUCAUGGUAGUUAUUAUGUUAACAUUGUUAUUCCAUAUUAGGCAAUGUUUCUAGUUCUUGUAUCUGAUUGGUUAGAUACAUUUUCCAUACAUGGUUAUGUUUUUAGUUCCCACUGAUGGUUGGCUCUCUGCCCUCAAAUACAUUGUUGAGUUUGCCCCAUUGUCUUGUUUUUGAGGUUCAUCCCAUACAGUGCACAGCUUUUGCUUCCUUCAUUAUUUUUGCUUGUUAAUAAAGUCAUCUAUCUUUUGGAAUCCUUGUUCUCGUCCCUAUUUCUUCUGCCACACAACUCCCAGCUGGCCCGGUCCUGAGGUCGCACACAAUGGCAUGACAAGACACCAUAUUCUCCUUGCUGGUUCUGCUCUGUCUCCUCUGUACUGUCUACAACACAUCUGGAGUCAGAUGGAGAUUUCUAGGGGGGUGUCUUGGAUU